AGACCAGAGUUUGAAUGUGUUCACUUUUACUGAUAUCGUUAAGCUUCUAUAUAGUUCAUCAGGAAAAAGAACGAAAACGGGAAACUUACAACAAGGAAUUAAAAUGUUUGCGCUCCGACUAACGAAACUGAUGUUACUGAAGCGCAGAAUGGCCAAAGGAAGCUGUCUCAAGAAUCAUCAUAAAUAUGGCGCAGAUAGACAAGAUGGAAUUAAUGAGAAUAAGACUCGUCGACAAAAAUCGAAGGAAUGACGAUCACAUAAAAAAUCUAUUAUUGCUACAAAUAUGCGAACAAUCACCGAUGUGCAUACCAAAAACCAAUUUCUGAUCUGCGUAACAGAGAACACAGUGAACCACGUCGAUUGAAGCAGAAUGACUUAAUCGGCCAAGUGUUAAGUAUUUUACUUUUCCCAACCUGUCGAUCAAUAGGCAACGCGUGCAACAAAUUGCAGGAAUUGUGCGUUUAGUUAAGAAAGUGCCGAAUGAACACAAUGAGCUAAAUGUAAGUCGAAAACUUAUUAAUGUAUAUCUUCAUAUUUAGACUGCAGAAAGAUUUAGCAAUUAAUAACUCUGUCAGAAAAAGCUUUCCAGUAUGGUAUGUAUAUCAUGAAUUGUUUAGUUCCUUUGCUAUGCUGAAAAAAAUGCCACAAGUUCAAGUGGUUUUUGUGUUCAGAUAUGGGCACCAAGUUUUUUUUACCCUAUGUUGUCCUCUCUUCUGCUUGAGUACGAUACCUGACUUGUGAUAGUUCAUCAUUGGUAGCCACUUUGGAAUUAACUCUAUAUUUACGCGUCCGGACAGUGAUUUUUUCUUAUAUUUUCAUUUGUAAUUGACACACAAAUAAGAUAUUACGCAAUACAAGCCAAUUAGGCAAAACAUAAAUUGGUAAUUAGUGUAUUUUUUUAAAAAAAGGUAUAUCUUAUUCAAGAAAAAUACCCUAAGC